CGCAUGGCUUGUGUCUCGUUCGCGCGCGUACGUAUGGCUCCGCUUUUAGUUUUUGGCGAAUGCUUAGAAGCAUCAAGUUGCGGACACUGCGGUGGGCCAGGGCUUGAUGACAUUUGUUGUCCAGCUGCUGGUGCUACCGCGACGUAUUUGGAGCAACGCUUCUGCCUAUUUCCUCUGCCUGCACCUUAUAUUUGUUGUGUUUAUCGAGACCUGGCCUGUCUCUGCCUCGUUGAAGACAAAUGGGCAGAAGUACUGGUUGCUGUUGGUUUGUUUGGUUUGCUCAGUCUGAGCGUGCUGCAGAGCACUUGACCACUGCAGCAGUCAGGCAUGCUGUAUAUUGGGCAGUGCCAGGAAUUGCGAGAUCGAGACAGGCUGCCACUAGAAGUUCCUUGGGCCAGGAUUGCUCGUUGGCAGCACGUGCUCAUGCAGCAGCUGACGUGUCUUCGAUGUGUUUCGCCCUGGUAGUGCGGUCGUCUUUGUGGUUCUAGAGCUGCGCUGGCAUUGCCCAAGAACAGGAUAUAUCGGCAUGGCGCAGAAUUGCAGAGUGGGGGCGCUCCAUUCUAUUCCCACUCCAUUCCUUCAGAGUUGUGGCUUAUGUGAUUCCAGUCCUUUUGUCGGAGUUCUGACAGUUGAACCAUUCCCACUCCUUGAGUGGUCGAACUAAUCUACUCCAAUCCUCCAAUUACAGUAAAUAAAAUGCUUUCUGUAUAAUUA